GGGGUAUGCGGGCGCGAAUUCGCCCUUCAGGCCUACACAUGCAAGUCGAGCGGAUGAAGGGAGCUUGCUCCCUGAUUUAGCGGCGGACGGGUGAGUAAUGCCUAGGAAUCUGCCUGGUAGUGGGGGAUAACGUUCCGAAAGGAACGCUAAUACCGCGUACGUCCUACGGGAGAAAGCAGGGGACCUUCGGGCCUUGCGCUAUCAGAUGAGCCUAGGUCGAAUUAGCUAGUUGGUGAGGUAAUGGCUCACCAAGGCGACGAUCCGUAACUGGUCUGAGAGGAUGAUCAGUCACACUGGAACUGAGACACGGUCCAGACUCCUACGGGAGGCAGCAGUGGGGAAUAUUGGACAAUGGGCGAAAGCCUGAUCCAGCCAUGGCCGCGUGCGUGAAGAAGGUCUUCGGAUUGUAAAGCACUUUAAGUUGGGAGGAAGGGCUGCUGGUUAAUACCCUGCAGUUUUGACGUUACCAACAGAAUAAGCACCGGCUAACUUCGUGCCAGCAGCCGCGGUAAUACGAAGGGUGCAAGCGUUAAUCGGAAUUACUGGGCGUAAAGCGCGCGUAGGUGGUUCGUUAAGUUGGAUGUGAAAGCCCCGGGCUCAACCUGGGAACUGCAUCCAAAACUGGCGAGCUAGAGUACGGUAGAGGGUGGUGGAAUUUCCUGUGUAGCGGUGAAAUGCGUAGAUAUAGGAAGGAACACCAGUGGCGAAGGCGACCACCUGGACUGAUACUGACACUGAGGUGCGAAAGCGUGGGGAGCAAACAGGAUUAGAUACCCUGGUAGUCCACGCCGUAAACGAUGUCAACUAGCCGUUGGAAUCCUUGAGAUUUUAGUGGCGCAGCUAACGCAUUUAGUUGACCGCCUGGGGAGUACGGCCGCAAGGUUAAAACUCAAGUGAAUU
rnacentral:rRNA from 1 species